rnacentral:rRNA from 1 species
GACAUAGGUGGCAAACGUUAUCCGGAUUUAUUGGGCGUAAAGGAUGCGUAGAUGGUAGGAUAAGUUAUUAGUCGAAGCCAGGCUCAACUUGACGGAAGCUAAUAAUACUAUCCUGCUAAGAGGACAGGAGAGGUUGGCGGAAUUCUGUAUGGAGCGGUGAAAUGCGUUGAUCUACAGAGGAACACCAAAAAAGGCGAAGGCAGCCAGCUAUUCUGCUCCUGACAUUGAGGCAUGAAAGCGUGGGGAGCAAACCGG